rnacentral:lncRNA from 1 species
AAAUACUAGGCAUCCAGAAGCUGAACGUGGAUCUGAUACGCUCACUAAAAUCCAGGUUGGCCUCAGACUUCAUCAGUAAUAAUUGUAGGCAUAGGACAAAAAAAAAAAAAAAAAAAAAGCACGUUUGGAAGGCUAUAUCUUCAUGACGUUGGAAAUGCUACAUGUUAGCUGCGAAUGCUGAUACAAAGUCAGAAGACAUGGCCGUCAGUGUUAGGACACUGCCUUAUUCUGCUAUUUCUCCUUGCCGACCUAUGGUUUGCAUUGUGGGUGGCAUUCAUUAACGAGGGCAGUAGAAACUUGGAGAAAACA